rnacentral:rRNA from 1 species
GGGGAAUAUUGCACAAUGGGGGGAACCCUGAUGCAGCGACGCCGCGUGAGUGAAGAAGUAUUUCGGUAUGUAAAGCUCUAUCAGCAGGGACGAAGAUGACGGUACCUGCAGAAGAAGCCCCGGCUAACUAC